AUUGAACGCUGGCGGCAGGCCUAACACAUGCAAGUCGAGCGGAGAGGCGGACGGGUGAGUAAUGCCUAGGAAUCUGCCUGGUAGUGGGGGAUAACGUCCGGAAACGGGCGCUAAUACCGCAUACUCUCAGAUGAGCCUAGGUCGGAUUAGCUAGUUGGGGGGGUAAAGGCCUACCAAGGCGACGAUCCGUAACUGGUCUGAGAGGAUGAUCAGCCACACCGUAAUGGAGACACGGGCCAGACUCAUACGGUAGGCAGCAGUGUGGAACAUUGGCAAAUGGUCGAAAGCCGGCUCUAGCCAUGCCGCGUGGCUGAACAAGUCUUUCGGUUUGUAAAGCGCUUUAAGCUGGGAGGCGUUACCAACAGAGUACGCACCGGCUAACUUCGUGCCAGCAGCCGCGGUAAUUC
rnacentral:rRNA from 1 species